GACGAACGCUGGCGGCGUGCUUAACACAUGCAAGUCGAACGGUGAAGGGAUCAGCUUGCUGGUUCUGGAUGAGUGGCGAACGGGUGAGUAACACGUGAGUAACCUGCCCCCUUCUUCUGGAUAACCGCAUGAAAGUGUGGCUAAUACGGGAUAUUCUGCGCCUGCUGCAUGGUGGGUGUGGGAAAGAUAUUGUUUCGGUGGGGGAUGGGCUCGCGGCCUAUCAGCUUGUUGGUGGGGUGAUGGCCUACCAAGGCGGUGACGGGUAGCCGGCCUGAGAGGGUGGACGGUCACACUGUGACUGAGACACGGCCCAGACUCCUACGGGAGGCAGCAGUGGGGAAUAUUACACGAUGGGCGCAAGCCUGAUGCAGCGACGCCGCGUGAGGGAUUGAGGCCUUCGGGUUGUGAACCUCUUUCGCCAGUGAAGCAGGCCUGUCCCUUGUGGGUGGGUUGACGGUAGCUGGAUAAGAAGCGCCGGCUAACUACGU
rnacentral:rRNA from 1 species